CUGGUUCUCUAGGGAGCAUGUGCACACCUUGUCAUCUUUAUAUCUCCACCUGUGCACUUUUUGUAGACCUUUCAGGUCUAUGUUGCUUCAUUUACCCCAAUGUAUGUUAAUAGAAUGUUGUGCCUAUAUAAUAUAUACAACUUUCAGCAACGGAUCUCUUGGCUCUCGCAUCGAUGAAGAACGCAGCGAAAUGCGAUAAGUAAUGUGAAUUGCAGAAUUCAGUGAAUCAUCGAAUCUUUGAACGCACCUUGCGCUCCUUGGUAUUCCGAGGAGCAUGCCUGUUUGAGUGUCAUUAAUAUAUCAACCUUCUCUUUUUUGAGUUGUUUGGAUGUGGGGGUUUGCUGGCUUCUUAAAUGAUUCAGCUCCCCUGAAAUGCAUUAGCAGAACAACCUGUUCAUUGGCGUGAUAAUUAUCUAUGCUAUUGAAUGUGAGGGCAGUUCAGCUUUCUAACCGUCCUCGGACAAUUCAUCAUUAAUGUGACCUCAAAUCAGGUAGGACUACCCGCUGAACUUAAGCAUAUCAAUAAGCGGAGGAAAAGAAACUAACAAGGAUUCCCCUAGUAACUGCGAGUGAAGCGGGAAAAGCUCAAAUUUAAAAUCUGGCGGUCUUUUGGCUGUCCGAGUUGUAAUCUAGAGAAGUGUUAUCCGCGCUGGACCGUGUACAAGUCUCCUGGAAUGGAGCAUCAUAGAGGGUGAGAAUCCCGUCUUUGACAUGGACUGCCAGGGCUUUUGUGAUGCGCUCUCAAAGAGUCGAGUUGUUUGGGAAUGCAGCUCANAAUGGGUGGUAAAUUCCAUCUAAAGCUAAAUAUUGGCGAGAGACCGAUAGCGAACAAGUACCGUGAGGGAAAGAUG
rnacentral:rRNA from 1 species